rnacentral:rRNA from 1 species
GCAAGUCGAACGAUGAAACUUAAAUUUUUUCUUCGGAAUGAACUUAAGUGGAUUAGUUGCGGACGGGUGAGUAACGCGUGAGUAACCUGCCUUACACAAGGGGAUAGCCGUUGGAAACGACGAAUAAUACCCUAUGAAACUAUCACUUCGCAUGAAGCGAUAGUCAAAGUGUUAGCGGUGUAAGAUGGGAUUGCGUCUGAUUAGCUAGUGGGUGAGAAAAAAGCCCACCAAGGCAACGAUCAGUAGCCGGCUUGAGAGAGUGUGC